AUGAAUACAGUAUAGAGUUACUGCUGCUGUUCUUCAUGUGUUUAGUAUGAAUACAGUAUAGAGUUACUGCUGCUGUUCUUCAUGUGUUUAAUAUGAAUACAGUAUAGAGUUACUGCUGCUGUUCUUCAUGUGUUUAAUAUGAAUACAGUAUAGAGUUACUGCUGCUGUUCUUCAUGUGUUUAGUAUGAAUACAGUAUAGAGUUACUGCUGCUGUUCUUCAUGUGUUUAGUAUGAAUACAGUAUAGAGUUACUGCUGCUGUUCUUCAUGUGUUUAGUAUGAAUACAGUAUAGAGUUACUGAUGCUGUUCUUCAUGUGUUUAAUAUGACUAACACACUAAGACUAAGAGCUGUAUUCAGUCCGUAUCGUGGAAAUUCAGCGUUACAGUGUGAUUUAAAUUUAAAGGCAAUGUACCCACGUUAGUGGAGACUACAUUCAAGGUAAACACUGUAUAUUUAGACUCAAUCAGAAAUGACCUUUACAUUUCUGUCAGUCAAUCUGUAACCCUUCAUCAAUACAGACUGAAUAGAGUACUAAGUAGAGAUAUUAGUGUUUCACCUGUAUGUUUCAGAUGCUGCUGUUGGACCAAGUCAUUUGACAUACGCCCAGAUUCAACUCACAAAGUUGGACAAGAAAAAGAAGAAAAGCCAGCUGAUCCAAAAGAAAGUCCAGUCUACUCUGAGGUGAAGACAGGAAAAGCCACAACAGCUGGACCUGUUGAUGUGACCUAUGCUGAGGUUGUCCUCCAAAAGAAGACCAAAGCCAAGAAGAAGAGGUAAGACUGGACAUCCCUCCCUCCAUAUUCCCCCUAUCAGAACCUCACACCUCUGACCACAUAUUGAAUAUCUAUAUAUUUUAUCCUCACUCCCUACAGAAACAACCCCACCUGAGACAGAUUCAGUCUAUUCUCAACUGAAGCCAGGUAAGACUAAUAUCCAUAUGCUAUUGAUACUAAUAUGAUACUUAUAUGUAAACCUCUCACCACAGACUUGGACAGAUCAGCAAGGGAAUAAGGGUGAAAAACACAUCUCAGUGUAUGAACUUGUAUGAUAUUGACUGGUGUAAAGUACUUAAGUAAAAAUGAUUUCAGGUACUACUUAACACUUUGGUUAUCUUUACUUUAAACUUUAAUAUUCAUACUUUUACUUUUACUUUACAUUUCUAAAGAAAAUCAUGUACUUUUUACUCCAUAUAUUUUCCUUGACACCCAAAAGUACUUAGCAGGACAGGAUAAUGGUCCAAUUCACACACUUAUCAAGAGAACACGUGGUCAUCCCUACUGCCUCUGAUAUGGCGGACUCACUAAACACAAAUGCAUCGUUUGUAAAUUAUGUCUGA
rnacentral:lncRNA from 13 species